ACUGGCUCAGGAUGAACGCCGGCGGUGUGCCAAAUACAUGCAAGUCGAACGCGUUGGCCCAAUUGAUUGAUGGUGCUUGCACCUGAUUGAUUUUGGUYGCCAACGAGUGGCGGACGGGUGAGUAACACGUAGGUAACCUGCCCAGAAGCGGGGGACAACAUUUGGAAACAGAUGCUAAUACCGCAUAACARCGUUGUUCGCAUGAACAACGCUUAAAAGAUGGCUUCUCGCUAUCACUUCUGGAUGGACCUGCGGUGCAUUAGCUUGUUGGUGGGGUAAYGGCCUACCAAGGCGAUGAUGCAUAGCCGAGUUGAGAGACUGAUCGGCCACAAUGGGACUGAGACACGGCCCAUACUCCUACGGGAGGCAGCAGUAGGGAAUCUUCCACAAUGGGCGCAAGCCUGAUGGAGCAACACCGCGUGAGUGAAGAAGGGUUUCGGCUCGUAAAGCUCUGUUGUUAAAGAAGAACACGUAUGAGAGUAACUGUUCAUACGUUGACGGUAUUUAACCAGAAAGUCACGGCUAACUACGUGCCAGCAGCCGCGGUAAUACGUAGGUGGCAAGCGUUAUCCGGAUUUAUUGGGCGUAAAGAGAGUGCAGGCGGUUUUCUAAGUCUGAUGUGAAAGCCUUCGGCUUAACCGGAGAAGUGCAUCGGAAACUGGAUAACUUGAGUGCAGAAGAGGGUAGUGGAACUCCAUGUGUAGCGGUGGAAUGCGUAGAUAUAUGGAAGAACACCAGUGGCGAAGGCGGCUACCUGGUCUGCAACUGACGCUGAGACUCGAAAGCAUGGGUAGCGAACAGGAUUAGAUACCCUGGUAGUCCAUGCCGUAAACGAUGAGUGCUAGGUGUUGGAGGGUUUCCGCCCUUCAGUGCCGGAGCUAACGCAUUAAGCACUCCGCCUGGGGAGUACGACCGCAAGGUUGAAACUCAAAGGAAUUGACGGGGGCCCGCACAAGCGGUGGAGCAUGUGGUUUAAUUCGAAGCUACGCGAAGAACCUUACCAGGUCUUGACAUCUUGCGCCAACCCUAGAGAUAGGGCGUUUCCUUCGGGAACGCAAUGACAGGUGGUGCAUGGUCGUCGUCAGCUCGUGUCGUGAGAUGUUGGGUUAAGUCCCGCAACGAGCGCAACCCUUGUUACUAGUUGCCAGCAUUAAGUUGGGCACUCUAGUGAGACUGCCGGUGACAAACCGGAGGAAGGUGGGGACGACGUCAGAUCAUCAUGCCCCUUAUGACCUGGGCUACACACGUGCUACAAUGGACGGUACAACGAGUCGCGAACUCGCGAGGGCAAGCAAAUCUCUUAAAACCGUUCUCAGUUCGGACUGCAGGCUGCAACUCGCCUGCACGAAGUCGGAAUCGCUAGUAAUCGCGGAUCAGCAUGCCGCGGUGAAUACGUUCCCGGGCCUUGUACACACCGCCCGUCACACCAUGAGAGUUUGUAACACCCAAAGUCGGUGGGGUAACCUUUU
rnacentral:rRNA from 1 species